UACGGAGGGUGCAAGCGUUAUCCGGAUUCACUGGGUUUAAAGGGUGUGUAGGCGGGUAUUUAAGUCAGUGGUGAAAUCUCCGGGCUCAACCCGGAAACUGCCAUUGAUACUAUUUAUCUUGAAUCUUGUUGAGGUAGGCGGAAUACAUCAUGUAGCGGUGAAAUGCUUAGAUAUGAUGUAGAACACCGAUUGCGAAGGCAGCUUACUAAACAAGCAUUGACGCUGAGGCACGAAAGCGUGGGGAUCAAACAGG
rnacentral:rRNA from 1 species